rnacentral:ncRNA from 1 species
AAAUAAAUAACUUUCCCGGCUCAUAUAAUCACAGGGAUAUGGCCUGUGAGUUUCUACCGGCAACCGUAAAUUGCCUGGCUAUGAGCACCGGUGUUUAUUUC